GUGGGGGCCUGGGCGCCUGCCUGGGUACCACAGAGGGCCCUGGUUUUCCUGUCUCGGGUUCUGUCAUCUGCUUCCAGCCAGCUCCUCCGAUCCCUGCUUUGAGGCUGCUCAAACCCUUGUCAUCUCUCCUCACAGUUGAGGCCAAGGCAGGAAAAGUCCUCAUGUGUCCCCGAUGAAGGAAGCAGGGGACCCCAGGGCCCUUGGGAAGACCUCUCCACCUCACAGACCGCACGUGCACUCCAGCACUGCCCCUGGUCUGGAGGAAAAACUGCACCCUGGAAGGAUCUCUUGCCACCAUUGGCCCUGGCUUGGGUCACACUGACCCCAAGGGCCAUGGCUGAGCAGCUGAAGAGCAUGGAGCAGCCUGCACACUUGGCCACUGGCUCCCCACUGACGCGGGAGAGAAGUGAAUAACAGUCUCAGCCAUCAUGUGCGUUUGCUAAAAAUAAACCUGACAUACUUUUGUGUUGGGAAACAAUGUGGAUUCCAAACAUUCUCAAAGGGCAGAGAGGGGAAAAAAGGAAGACUGGAAAUCAAGUUUUUGAGCUUAGUAAUUAAUUAGGGCCUGUAAACAAAUGAUUCAUGUUCUUUCUUAGCUAUUUUUCUUUUCAUUUUGUGUAGAUUUUUGCAGGGACUGAAGGAAGGAGGCCAGGAGAGUGAAGUUGAUAGCUGCAGGGGCCUGGAUGGGACAGGACUGUUUUG
rnacentral:lncRNA from 1 species